UAAUAGUGUAUAUUAAAGUUGUUGCAGUUAAAAAGCUCGUAGUUGAAUGUUGGUGUCGAACGAGCGGUCAGCUUCGGCUGUACUGCUCUCUCGACUCCUUCCUUCUGUGGACUACGUCGCACUUUACUGUGUGGCGCUAGGACGCAGAUCGUUUACUGUGAAAAAAUUAGAGUGUUCAAAGCAGGCCGUACGCUUGAAUACAUUAGCUUGGAAUAAUGGAAUAGGACGUCGGGCCUAUUUUGUUGGUUCUAGGACCGUCGUAAUGAUUAAUAGGGACAGUUGGGGCCGUUUAUAUUCCGUAGUCAGAGGUGAAAUUCUUGGAUUUACGGAAGAUAAACUACUGCGAAAGCAUUCGGCAAGGAUGUUUUCGUUAA
rnacentral:rRNA from 1 species